UGGGAAGAUGAUGAAGAUGAAGAUGUUGUUAUUGUUGAUGAAGAGGAAGAAGGUGCGGCAGUACAAGGGACCAGCAUUUCAUGGGGUUCAAUUAAGGGAACAUCAUCAAUGCAAAAGCCAUAAUUCAUCGGCUCCAUUGUCUCAAAUGUGCUUGUCAUUCUUUUUUCUUCCUCUACUUUUGUCUCUUCAGUAGUGCUUGGUUGCAC
rnacentral:misc_RNA from 1 species